GACGAACGCUGGCGGCGUGCUUAACACAUGCAAGUCGAACGCUGAAGCUUGGUGCUUGCACUGGGUGGAUGAGUGGCGAACGGGUGAGUAAUACGUGAGUAACCUGCCCUUGACUCUGGGAUAAGCCUGGGAAACUGGGUCUAAUACUGGAUACGACAUGCCACUGCAUGGUGGUGUGUGGAAAGGGUUUUACUGGUUUUGGAUGGGCUCACGGCCUAUCAGCUUGUUGGUGGGGUAAUGGCCUACCAAGGCGACGACGGGUAGCCGGCCUGAGAGGGUGACCGGCCACACUGGGACUGAGACACGGCCCAGACUCCUACGGGAGGCAGCAGUGGGGAAUAUUGCACAAUGGGCGGAAGCCUGAUGCAGCGACGCCGCGUGGGGGAUGACGGCCUUCGGGUUGUAAACCUCUUUCAGCACGGAAGAAGCGAGAGUGACGGUACGUGCAGAAGAAGCGCCGGCUAACUACGUG
rnacentral:rRNA from 1 species